AUUUUUUUUCUUCUCCGCUUUAUCUCAAAAAAGAGAGAAACCAUCUCUUUCUUCCUAUGUAACCAUCGACUUUUCACUUUCUGCAAUCUCUAUCUCUUUCUUGCUAACAUCACUUCAUCCUCAAUAUCUCUCACUUCCACAAUCGGCCCUCUUUCCGUCCCACUCCUUACGGCAGCAUAUAAUGGACAACCGAUCUAACCGAUCUAAUAACGAAGUUCAGUUGUCCACCAUGUACCCUGUCUGACCUGCCUUACCCCUCCGUAGGCGACCAACACGGCGGUCUAGUUCUGGAGACCUUCCACCGGAGCUUGUAGAUGCAAAACCCACGAGGUAGCCACAAGUAAGACAAGAUUGAAGUCUCUCCAACCGGACACCCUCUACAGUUUCUGGAGAUACUCAGCAGACCCAAAUAUGUUAAUGUUGUAACCAAACAACAGAAUGCUUUGUGGCACAUCUCCCUUAGGCUCUGAUUCUUCAGUUUGUUGUGUCAAUUGUGGUGCUUUUACCCAUUCUUUCCAACGUGCUUACUUGCAACUAUGAGAACAACACGGUGAAGAAGGGUCGCUUGCUGGACGGAAAUCAAAGACCACUGCAGGCACUGAAGAACAAGUUCAGUCAGUCAUUAAUGCAAAUUUGAUUCCAACCUUGGUCAAUCUGGCUCAAAGUGCUGAAAUUAUGACAUGAAGAAAGAAGCUGCAUGGGCGAUUUCCUCUAAUGCGACCUUACGUGCUUCUCAUGAUCACAUCAAGUACGUGUCUGUCUUUUUUCUUUUCUUUUUCCACUUCUUAACAUGCUUAAUUAUAUAGAUGGUCAAGUCACAAUUGAUACCCAUUGGUGUAAUACAGAUACAUGGUGGAGCAGAGCUGCAUAAAACCUUUAUGUGAUACUCUGUCCAGAUAUAAGAACCAUCGUAAAGUGUCUGGAUGGUUUGGAAAACAUUUUGAAAGGCCGGAGCGGCUGCAGGAGACGUGAACUGAUUGAAAAUGCGGAAGGGCAAGACAAUAUUCUGCAACACCACGUAAGCAAUGAGAUCUACCAGAAGGCUUUGAAGAUUCUAGAGACGGCUUGAAGAAGAUGAUGAGGAGACACAACAAUAAUAACCACCAAGGUGAUAGAUCUAGGCUUUUCGUUAUACAAAUGCCAAUAUGUUCCACCAAAAAGAAUUAUGGAAGAAUUGGUUUCUGAUGAGUUGGUGGUGCUGAAUUGAAUCUCCUUUAAUCCCCAAACACUACU